CCCCAUGGCUAGAAUUAAUUAAACAAAGCUUCAGGAAUUUUGUGUGGAAAGGGAAAAUACCACGUAUUAGUGCUAAUGUAUUGUCAAAAGACACCAAAACGGGUGGCCUUUAAUAUCAUGAUGCCAGUAUUUUAUACCAUGAAACAAGGUUUUCAGCUUUUAAAAUGAAGAUUGGUAUCAUUUAGAGGCAAAAAAUGGAGAGUGCAAUGAUCUAUCCACAUUAAUAUGGAACUUAGAGAACAAGAAAAACACACAGACAAGGAAAUAUAGUUGCAUGAUUCCUAACCAUAUAUUAUCAUUGUGG